rnacentral:rRNA from 1 species
AUGGCUCAGAUUGAACGCUAGCGGGAUGCCUUACACAUGCAAGUCGAACGGCAGCACGGACUUCGGUCUGGUGGCGAGUGGCGAACGGGUGAGUAAUGUAUCGGAACGUGCCUAGUAGCGGGGGAUAACUACGCGAAAGCGUAGCUAAUACCGCAUACGCCCUACGGGGGAAAGCAGGGGAUCGUAAGACCUUGCACUAUUAGAGCGGCCGAUAUCGGAUUAGCUAGUUGGUGGGGUAAUGGCUCACCAAGGCGACGAUCCGUAGCUGGUUUGAGAGGACGACCAGCCACACUGGGACUGAGACACGGCCCAGACUCCUACGGGAGGCAGCAGUGGGGAAUUUUGGACAAUGGGGGAAACCCUGAUCCAGCCAUCCCGCGUGUGCGAUGAAGGCCUUCGGGUUGUAAAGCACUUUUGGCAGGAAAGAAACGCCGCGGGUUAAUACCCUGCGGAACUGACGGUACCUGCAGAAUAAGCACCGGCUAACUACGUGCCAGCAGCCGCGGUAAUACGUAGGGUGCAAGCGUUAAUCGGAAUUACUGGGCGUAAAGCGUGCGCAGGCGGUUCGGAAAGAAAGAUGUGAAAUCCCAGAGCUUAACUUUGGAACUGCAUUUUUAACUACCGAGCUAGAGUGUGUCAGAGGGAGGUGGAAUUCCGCGUGUAGCAGUGAAAUGCGUAGAUAUGCGGAGGAACACCGAUGGCGAAGGCAGCCUCCCUGGGAUAACACUACG